CUACUAGGGUAUCUAAUCCUGUUUGCUACCCACGCUUUCGUGCACUCAGCGUCAGUAAAGAUUUAGCAACCUGCCUUCGCUAUCGGUGUUCUGUAUGAUAUCUAUGCAUUUCACCGCUACACCAUACAUUCCAGAUGCUCCAAUCUUACUCAAGUUUACCAGUAUCAAUAGCAAUUUUACAGUUAAGCUGUAAGCUUUCACUACUGACUUAAUAAACAGCCUACACACCCUUUAAACCCAAUAAAUCCGAAUAACGCUUGUGUCAUCCGUAUUACCGCGGCUGCUGGCAC
rnacentral:rRNA from 1 species